rnacentral:rRNA from 1 species
CGGGUGAGUAAUGCUUAGGAAUCUGCCUAUUAGUGGGGGACAACAUUCCGAAAGGAAUGCUAAUACCGCAUACGYCCUACGGGGAAAGCAGGGGAUCUUCGGACCUUGCGCUAAUAGAUGAGCCUAAGUCAGAUUAGCUAGUUGGUGGGGUAAAGGCCUACCAAGGCGACGAUCUGUAGCGGGUCUGAGAGGAUGAUCCGCCACACUGGGACUGAGACACGGCCCAGACUCCUACGGGAGGCAGCAGUGGGGAAUAUUGGACAAUGGGCGGAAGCCUGAUCCAGCCAUGCCGCGUGUGUGAAGAAGGCCUUUUGGUUGUAAAGCACUUUAAGCGAGGAGGAGGCUACUUGGAUUAAUACUCUAGGAUAGUGGACGUUACUCGCAGAAUAAGCACCGGCUAACUCUGUGCCAGCAGCCGCGGUAAUACAGAGGGUGCGAGCGUUAAUCGGAUUUACUGGGCGUAAAGCGUGCGUAGGCGGCUUUUUAAGUCGGAUGUGAAAUCCCUGAGCUUAACUUAGGAAUUGCAUUCGAUACUGGGAAGCUAGAGUAUGGGAGAGGAUGGUAGAAUUCCAGGUGUAGCGGUGAAAUGCGUAGAGAUCUGGAGGAAUACCGAUGGCGAA